GAGGAAGUAAAAGUCGUAACAAGGUUUCCGUAGGUGAACCUGCGGAAGGAUCAUUAACGAGUAAACAAGGGGAGUUGUAGCUGGCCGCAAGGCAUGUGCACGCUCCCUGCUCAAUCCAACCUUACACCUGUGCAUCCAUUGUAGGGUGGGACGGCCCUCAUCGGGCUGUCCUUUCCUAUGUUUCACACAUACACUUAUAGUCUUAGAAUGUCAUUUGCUUAAACGCAUAAUAACAACUUUCAACAACGGAUCUCUUGGCUCUCGCAUCGAUGAAGAACGCAGCGAAAUGCGAUAAGUAAUGUGAAUUGCAGAAUUCAGUGAAUCAUCGAAUCUUUGAACGCACCUUGCGCUCCUUGGUAUUCCGAGGAGCAUGCCUGUUUGAGUGUCAUGAAAUUCUCAACUCGCUCACCUUUAUUGGUGAAUGAGCUUGGAUUUGGAGGAUCUUUUUGCAGGCUCCUUUGGAGUCGGCUCCUCUCUAAAUGCAUUAGCUGGACCCGUUGCGGACCGGUGCUCGGUGUGAUAAUUGUCUACGCCGUCUCUGGAAAGCGCCUUAGUGGACAGGCUUCUAAUCGUCUUCGGACAAUCAAUGACAUUUUGACCUCAAAUCAGGUAGGAUUACCCGCUGAACUUAAGCAUAUC
rnacentral:rRNA from 1 species